AGUGAGGAUUUUGAAGAUGAUGGUUCCACUGAAGUCUGGGCUAUCAGGGAACAUCUGGAUCACUCAGGAAGACCAACAGCUCUUACAGCAGUUGUGAUGUAUACAGAGUGGCAGAAACAGCAGACAAUGCAGUAUUCGGAAGAUGUUAACCUGCUCAAGAGUUUAGUGAGCUUUGCCGUCCUCCUUUUCCCCAUUACCCCUCAAGUCUGAGUAACAAACAUUACCCAGCGCCAGUGUGACUGCUGCCCGGAAAUUCUCUGAUGAGGCUGCCUGAUUUGAAUCCUAACUAGCAAAACCAAAGGACUCUAGCUCAGACUCCAAGGGAAGAUGAAUAACAUAAAUGGCCUUCUCUGCUGGAAAAAAAAAUCUAAUUAUAUGUUUAUAGAUUUUUUUAAAGGUUGGCAUUGAAUACUCAGAAAUAUAUUAAGAUCAUAUUUACCCUCAAUAGGAACACUGAAAAGGAAAUGAUAUUCUGAAACAAAAGGCCAACUCUAAACCUUGGGAGAUGGUGACAGUUACAAAAUGCAGGCCUGUGAAGGAAGUGUGUCCAUAAAAUGCUGACACCAUCUUCUUUCUCAUCAGAUGGGUAGAGAGAGUUUAGAAGCUCAAAACCACCAUCAUCCUUUCACUGUUCCUUUCUGAGUGUCUUCUCAGUAAGUGGAAGAUCCUUUUCUCACCUUGAGCUUAACAUAAAAUCUUUUUGAAAGUGACAAUUUUUUGUUGUUGUUAGUGGUAGUUAUGGAUUUGCUAUAAGAAUACAGCAAUUGCUAAUAUAUUGCCAUCAAAACAAUUAAUAUAAAUAAUAAUAUAGGAUGACAAUAUAGCAUAUAACUAACAGUGUGAACCUUGGAUUCAGAAAAGCUUGGCUUUGAAUCCUGGGUCCAUUAUUACUAGCUGUGUGCAAAUUAUUGAAACCCUCUCACCUCAAUUUUGCAUCCAUAAAAUGGGAUCAUAAUAACGAUUAUUCAAAUUCAACUUAAAGGGAAGUCUGAAUUAAAUGUGAAAAUGUAUGUAUAAAUCACACAAGUACUCAGUAAACAGUCACUAUUAACAUUGUCAUAAAUUUGUAGCUGUUGUUUCAUAGUCACAGUGAGAUGAUAAGGAAAAAUCCCUAUAUUCAAACUAGAAUUGAUUUCUAGUUCAAUAUUCUGAACAAAUGUGUUAUAUACAUUCUAUCAAAAUCACGAAUCAGUUGUAUGUUUUUAAUUUGUUUGUAAAUAUUUGUCAUGUUGUCAUUUUUAGAGAAUUUAAAAGGAAAAAUAGUGUCUUGACUAAUACCAAGCAUUCCACUUACAAGCAUGUUUUCCUUUUAGCACUGCCUCUUGUUGCAUAUGGGUCCAAUGCCCUGAUUUUCAAAAUGUGGUAGGAAACUAGUGAACUGGUAUCAAUGAAUAUCUUGUAGUUUGUCCUGUUCUCAUUCAACUUGUAAGUUCACUGGAUACAUGCAUGAGUAUUUUAAUUGGCCAGAAAGGCAGUUAUUGAUCUGGGUCACAUCUCCACAAGAUUUUAUAGAGAUAGGUUUGAAUAAAGUAGUCCUAAGGCUUAAAUAUCAGAGGCAUAAAGGGAAGAAGACAUUUUGCCACACACUGUAAAAACAAAUAAUCUUGAUCAUGCAGACUCCAUAUCUUACAAUAUUGUUAAUUUACAUUCCACAUCUUAGAACACUUAGACUCCACCACCUACUAUGGCAGGCAGAAAAGGUUCAUAACAAUAAAAAGGAUUCCUAAAGAUGUACAAUUGGCGUUUGCAUAAUAUUGAAAAAAAACUCUUGAUCAAUGAUUAUAUUUUGAUAUCUGUUCUUGCUAUAUAACUCAUCAUACCAAAAUUUAGCAGCUUAAAACAACAAAUAUUUCUGUUUCUGUGGGCAGAAAUCUAGGAGCAGCUUGGGUAGGUGAUUCUGACUCAAGGUCUCUCUUGAGGUUUAGUCAGACCUGGGCCACAGUUUCAUCAGAAGGCUUGACUGGGAGAUCUGCUUCCAAGCUCAUUCAUGUGGUUGUUGGUCAGCCUCAGGUGCCCAUUGGCUGUUAACAGAGAUUUCCAUUUUCUGCUCUGUGGUCCUCUCCUAAGUUGCCUGAAUGCCUUCAUGACAUGGCAGCUGGCUUCUCCAGUUCCUCGUGAAGUAUUGGACUGAGGGCUUCUGUUCUUUGCCAUGUGGGUCUCUCCAUAAGGCAGUUUGCAACCUGGCAACUGGCUUCCCCUACAGCAAAUGAAGACAGACAAUAUGAGCCUGUAGCCACAGUCUAGGAUAACCUAAUCUAGGAGGUGACAUGCCACCACUUCUCUGUAUUCUAUUGAUCAUAAAGAAAAUCUGGUACAGUGUGGGAGGGGACACCAAGGUUGUGAAGACAAGGAGGUGGGGAUGGUUGCGGGCCAUCUUGGGGGCUA
rnacentral:lncRNA from 1 species